rnacentral:sRNA from 1 species
GCGGCUGCCGGGAGGAUGUGCCGCCUUCUGGCAGGGGGAAGAAGGAGGAGAAGAUGAAGAAGCACCGGCGGGCCUUGGCCCUGGUCUCCUGCCUCUUUCUGUGCUCUCUGGUCUGGCUUCCCAGCUGGCGUGUAUGUUGUAAAGAGAGUUCUUCAGCUUCAGCGUCAUCAUAUUACUCUCAAGAUGACAACUGCGCACUAGAAAAUGAAGAUGUACAAUUCCAGAAAAAGGUGCCUUAAAUAAAGUUAACAUUAUAAUUUGUGUGUCAGCUUUCUGAGAGUGUCUGAAAACAUUCAGAAUAAAAGUAAUUUCAAAAAUGCCAUGCCAUAAUUUUUGGUGGAGAUUCGUAUUUUUCUUUGCUAUUACUCAGGUAAUUCUUAAAUUAUGAUGGCUCAGAGAUAUUUAUAUGUUUAUUCUUGUUGCUUGUAUUUGGAAUUUUGUAACAUCCUUAGUCCUGUAGUAUAGGGUAGUGCAUGUUCAGAGAGCUGAAAACGAGUGAUUUGUUUUUAAUGAUCUAUAAUAGAGUUUUUAAAGAAACCCCAAUUUUGCAAAUGAGAACUAUUAGAAGUGAGUAUUCCAGGGAGAAUCUACAGUCAGUGGCUUUGUAGUUUGUUUUAUGUAAUUAGGUGCAGUAAAUAUAAAGACUCCAAAAAACCUCAUGGUCUUAAAACAUGUAUUAUUUUACCAUUCUAAAUGAUAAAUGGAGAGUAUUGACUUGAUUUGGCUUUUGCCUUUAACUUCAGUGUAUUUAA